AUAGUCCAGAUGGUGGUGGAGUUGUCUGCAUAUUUUGCCUUUUUAAGCUUCAACAGUUCCUUGUCUGCAUAUUUUGCCUAAACGAAAUCCAUCAUUCAAGCACAGUCAUUCCUAAAUGACUUUAGGUGGAGGGAUGUCUCGUUCUGCUGGAAGUGGCUUCACUCCAGAAACCAUCACUGUGGCGGUAGGAGAAGGCGGACAUCACAACAAAUUAAUGAUAAUGUCAAGUCGUUUUUGCAAAAAGCUAAGAUAGGCCCUAAAGCUGUAUGCAUCUUGCAGUGGCACCGUCAUAUACAAGGUAGGCCGGGGCAGUUUGAAAUAUUAAUUAUCUUUCAUCUCAUCUCUCGGCCUCCUACUUAUUGCUGAGUAAUAGCAGCGGACCUCAGGGCCUAAGAACGGGUAGUCUUAGCAUGCAUUUGUGUUGCUAGUCCAGAUGGUGGUGUCAUAGCAACCAUGCCAGUCCUUCUGUGCAGGUACCGGCCCUUUUUAAUGCUACCUUCAACAGUAAUAUUGGGGCGAUUUCUAGUUAUAUAUGUGUGGCUCCAAGGCAAAUUAAAGAGCAAAUUAAACCCCCAGUGAGUAUAGAAGUAGUUGGAAUCAAACAAUCAGAAAACUCUGGGGAUGGAGUUCUGAGUGAAACUUCACAUUUAAUUAGUAGUUGGAAGCUUAAAGCAUAGAGUGUACGUGUUCUUCUUACAGAUGGAGGCCCUGAGGGCAGUUUGAAAUAUUGUCUCUCUCAUGGCAUGCUCUGCUUCCUGAGUAAUAGCAGCAGUCCUCAGCUCAGGGCUGAUCGAACUUGUAGUAUUGUUGCUGAGUAAUAGCAAGCCCCAAAAAUGUGUCCGGGUUGAAGACAAAGGGUUGUUGUGAUAGUAUAGUCCAGAUGGUCGGUCGUGUCAUAGUCAUAGGUGGUGGAGUUGGCCGGGGGAGUUCACAUAGCAGCCAGUCCUGUCCAGGCAAUGUUGGGGAGCUUGCUUUCUAUGUGUUAGUUGGCUCGAAAUUAAAGCAAUGAUCAAAUCCUGGAUCAGUGAGUAAUGUAUAGAACGAAGGUGCACCAACAACUUUAAACUAACUGCCAGAUCAUGAGUUUUGACAAUUCGAUCUGUGACACAACCAGAAUCUGAUGUAUGUAUAGUAUGCCAUCCUUUAAUUUUAAUUUGCUGUUAAAUCACCUAAGAAAAUUCAGGACGAGCAACUAGCUAGCUAGCUAAGAAGAUUGCUUGAAGAAAGCAUCUCAUUUAAUUUUUCUCUAAACUUGAUGAUUUAGUUUCAUUCAUCAUAUCCUAAUUUCUUAAUUUUCAUUCAUUCAUAUGACACCCAAGUUCUGAUCGAAUAUUAGGAUUGUUGAGUUUGAUUGGUCAAGACAGAUUAUUACACCAACAACUUUAUAGAAAUUCUUUUUUUUGUUUUU